UAAUAAGUGUUUUAUGGCACUUUUAAAUCCAUAUCCACCUUGUGUGCAAUGUCAGUCGGUUUCUUUUUCGUCAAGAAAAAAGGAUCGACCAAACAUCAACUUAUUCCAAUUGAACUUUUGUCUGAAAACUAUUAUGAAUAAACUAAUUCAAAAUA
rnacentral:misc_RNA from 1 species